AAAUCCUAACCGAAAUAGCAAAAUUUCUGGUUCGGAUUUUGUAUUGAACAAGUUUGGAUAUCCAAACCCGAUCAGAUGUAUCCAAAACCCGAAGUACUACCCGAACUCAUCCGAACAUAUAUCAAUACUAUUAAAGCAGAAUUCUUCUUAAGAUUAUGCCCCUGACUUUUCCAAUUAAUUAUAAAAAUUUACAUUACUUUUUUCAAUUGUUUUUAAUGGUUUUCGGAAAUUAAAAGUCCAACAAAUUAGAAAGUAGCAUGUUUCUGUCCAACUAAACAGCCCAAUAAUUUAAACAAUUUAUCCAUCAUUUUUUAAGCCCAUUUCGUAUGUUUACUAACCCAUCCAUAUUCAUUUGUGUUCUAACCCUAUACCCUAAAACUCUAUUCAAACCUUAACUUUAUUCAAACCCAUACUAGCCCAUUUCUUGUAUGUUUACUAACCCAUCCAUAUUCGUUUGUGUUCUAACCUUAUACCCUAAAACUCUAUUCAAACCCUAACUCUAUUCAAACCCUAUUAACACCA
rnacentral:lncRNA from 1 species